UACGUAGGGGGCUAGCGUUGUCCGGAAUCAUUGGGCGUAAAGAGCGUGUAGGCGGCUCGGUAAGUCCGCUGUGAAAGUCCAGGGCUCAACCCUGGAAUGCCAGUGGAAACUGUCGAGCUAGAGUCCGGAAGAGGCGAGUGGAAUUCCUGGUGUAGCGGUGAAAUGCGCAGAUAUCAGGAGGAACACCGAUGGCGAAGGCAGUGGGCUGGGCCGGCACUGACGCUGAGGAGCGAAAGCGUGGGGAGCGAACAGG
rnacentral:rRNA from 1 species